UCUGGGUCUGCUGAGAAUCAGCCUCCAAGAUGGGAUUAGAAGGCAAAGGAUUUUAUUAAGGGAAACAUCUGUGCGAGAGAAAACGGGGAGAAAGGCAGACGGGCUGGGAGCCCGUCCAACUGCUGCGGGUCUGACUGAGGGAAGGAGCCAGGAGGAAGGCUGGGCAGCCGUCCCAGGGCGCCCACAGCCUGAGGGAGCUUCAGCGCGGCCGCCAGAGUCCCGGAGCCGCGUCCCGCGCUGGAGCAGGCCUGUCUCCAGGCCCGGCCCGUCGUGGUGCCCGGCGUCCCUGCAGCCCUCGCUCGUUGGCUGGGACCAGCCUCCCCGCAAGCCCGGGGAUGGAGCUCAGCGCGGGGCCCUCCGUCAGUUGCGCCACGGGUGACGGCGGAGAGGCGCGGUCUCGUGGCCACAGAGGAGCAAUGUGAACAGUUUGCAUGUCCUAUGUUGCUGUGAUGGUUCAUUUUAUGUGUCAACUUGACUGGCCUAAGGGAUACCCAGGUAAAACAUUGUUUCUGGGUGUGUCUGCAAGGGUGUUUCUGAAGAAAUUAGCUUUUGCUUGAGUAGACUACGUAAAGUGAUGGCCCUCACUAAUGUGUGCGGGCACCAUCCAAUCCA
rnacentral:lncRNA from 1 species